UUCGCUUCCCAUUGUUUUCCAGAACCCUCUCUCUGACUCCCAUUUUGGACAGCACGGUCGGAAACUGCUUCGUAGGCAAAACUCCAAAGGAAAUCCCACAAAUACAGCGUGAGAGCAAAGUCAGUACACAGUAGCGAUACCUGGCCGGCAACAUCUAUCGGCAUACACGAUGUUUGCGAAUUUAGAGCAUAUUAUGAAGGAGAUGCAGGGAGCCAUAAUAUUUGCUGCAGCUUUUCAUGAAAUACUUGGAUACAGUGGGAUUGCAAUGAUAUUUUUGAACAGCAGAUAGUCACAUAUGGAAAGCAGAGCUCAAAAUCAUUAAAAAGGUCAAAGUCAAGGCAUCAUAAGAAGUGUGCUUGCUUCCAUUUUUU